UACGUAGGGUGCAAGCGUUGUCCGGAAUUAUUGGGCGUAAAGAGCUCGUAGGCGGUUUGUCGCGUCUGCUGUGAAAACUCGGGGCUUAACUCCGGGCCUGCAGUGGGUACGGGCAGACUAGAGUGCGGUAGGGGAGACUGGAAUUCCCGGUGUAGCGGUGAAAUGCGUAGAGAUCGGGAGGAACACCGGCGGCGAAGGCGGCUGCCUGGACCGGCCCUGACGCUGAGGCGCGAAAGCUAGGGGAGCAAACAGG
rnacentral:rRNA from 1 species